rnacentral:rRNA from 1 species
UUAAGCGACUAAGCGUACACGGUGGAUGCCCUGGCAGUCAGAGGCGAUGAAGGACGUGCUAAUCUGCGAUAAGCGUCGGUAAGGUGAUAUGAACCGUUAUAACCGGCGAUUUCCGAAUGGGGAAACCCAGUGUGAUUCGUCACACUAUCAUUAACUGAAUCCAUAGGUUAAUGAGGCGAACCGGGGGAACUGAAACAUCUAAGUACCCCGAGGAAAAGAAAUCAACCGAGAUUCCCCCAGUAGCGGCGAGCGAACGGGGAGCAGCCCAGAGCCUGAAUCAGUGUGUGUGUUAGUGGAAGCGUCUGGAAAGGCGUGCGAUACAGGGUGACAGCCCCGUACACAAAAAUGCACAUACUGUGAGCUCGAUGAGUAGGGCGGGACACGUGGUAUCCUGUCUGAAUAUGGGGGGACCAUCCUCCAAGGCUAAAUACUCCUGACUGACCGAUAGUGAACCAGUACCGUGAGGGAAAGGCGAAAAGAACCCCGGCGAGGGGAGUGAAAAAGAACCUGAAACCGUGUACGUACAAGCAGUGGGAGCACGCUUAGGCGUGUGACUGCGUACCUUUUGUAUAAUGGGUCAGCGACUUAUAUUCUGUAGCAAGGUUAACCGAAUAGGGGAGCCGAAGGGAAACCGAGUCUUAACUGGGCGUUAAGUUGCAGGGUAUAGACCCGAAACCCGGUGAUCUAGCCAUGGGCAGGUUGAAGGUUGGGUAACACUAACUGGAGGACCGAACCGACUAAUGUUGAAAAAUUAGCGGAUGACUUGUGGCUGGGGGUGAAAGGCCAAUCAAACCGGGAGAUAGCUGGUUCUCCCCGAAAGCUAUUUAGGUAGCGCCUCGUGAAUUCAUCUCCGGGGGUAGAGCACUGUUUCGGCAAGGGGGUCAUCCCGACUUACCAACCCGAUGCAAACUGCGAAUACCGGAGAAUGUUAUCACGGGAGACACACGGCGGGUGCUAACGUCCGUCGUGAAGAGGGAAACAACCCAGACCGCCAGCUAAGGUCCCAAAGUCAUGGUUAAGUGGGAAACGAUGUGGGAAGGCCCAGACAGCCAGGAUGUUGGCUUAGAAGCAGCCAUCAUUUAAAGAAAGCGUAAUAGCUCACUGGUCGAGUCGGCCUGCGCGGAAGAUGUAACGGGGCUAAACCAUGCACCGAAGCUGCGGCAGCGACGCUUAUGCGUUGUUGGGUAGGGGAGCGUUCUGUAAGCCUGCGAAGGUGUGCUGUGAGGCAUGCUGGAGGUAUCAGAAGUGCGAAUGCUGACAUAAGUAACGAUAAAGCGGGUGAAAAGCCCGCUCGCCGGAAGACCAAGGGUUCCUGUCCAACGUUAAUCGGGGCAGGGUGAGUCGACCCCUAAGGCGAGGCCGAAAGGCGUAGUCGAUGGGAAACAGGUUAAUAUUCCUGUACUUGGUGUUACUGCGAAGGGGGGACGGAGAAGGCUAUGUUGGCCGGGCGACGGUUGUCCCGGUUUAAGCGUGUAGGCUGGUUUUCCAGGCAAAUCCGGAAAAUCAAGGCUGAGGCGUGAUGACGAGGCACUACGGUGCUGAAGCAACAAAUGCCCUGCUUCCAGGAAAAGCCUCUAAGCAUCAGGUAACAUCAAAUCGUACCCCAAACCGACACAGGUGGUCAGGUAGAGAAUACCAAGGCGCUUGAGAGAACUCGGGUGAAGGAACUAGGCAAAAUGGUGCCGUAACUUCGGGAGAAGGCACGCUGAUAUGUAGGUGAAGUCCCUCGCGGAUGGAGCUGAAAUCAGUCGAAGAUACCAGCUGGCUGCAACUGUUUAUUAAAAACACAGCACUGUGCAAACACGAAAGUGGACGUAUACGGUGUGACGCCUGCCCGGUGCCGGAAGGUUAAUUGAUGGGGUUAGCGCAAGCGAAGCUCUUGAUCGAAGCCCCGGUAAACGGCGGCCGUAACUAUAACGGUCCUAAGGUAGCGAAAUUCCUUGUCGGGUAAGUUCCGACCUGCACGAAUGGCGUAAUGAUGGCCAGGCUGUCUCCACCCGAGACUCAGUGAAAUUGAACUCGCUGUGAAGAUGCAGUGUACCCGCGGCAAGACGGAAAGACCCCGUGAACCUUUACUAUAGCUUGACACUGAACAUUGAGCCUUGAUGUGUAGGAUAGGUGGGAGGCUUUGAAGUGUGGACGCCAGUCUGCAUGGAGCCGACCUUGAAAUACCACCCUUUAAUGUUUGAUGUUCUAACGUUGACCCGUAAUCCGGGUUGCGGACAGUGUCUGGUGGGUAGUUUGACUGGGGCGGUCUCCUCCUAAAGAGUAACGGAGGAGCACGAAGGUUGGCUAAUCCUGGUCGGACAUCAGGAGGUUAGUGCAAUGGCAUAAGCCAGCUUGACUGCGAGCGUGACGGCGCGAGCAGGUGCGAAAGCAGGUCAUAGUGAUCCGGUGGUUCUGAAUGGAAGGGCCAUCGCUCAACGGAUAAAAGGUACUCCGGGGAUAACAGGCUGAUACCGCCCAAGAGUUCAUAUCGACGGCGGUGUUUGGCACCUCGAUGUCGGCUCAUCACAUCCUGGGGCUGAAGUAGGUCCCAAGGGUAUGGCUGUUCGCCAUUUAAAGUGGUACGCGAGCUGGGUUUAGAACGUCGUGAGACAGUUCGGUCCCUAUCUGCCGUGGGCGCUGGAGAAUUGAGGGGGGCUGCUCCUAGUACGAGAGGACCGGAGUGGACGCAUCACUGGUGUUCGGGUUGUCAUGCCAAUGGCACUGCCCGGUAGCUAAAUGCGGAAGAGAUAAGUGCUGAAAGCAUCUAAGCACGAAACUUGCCCCGAGAUGAGUUCUCCCUGACUCCUUGAGAGUCCUGAAGGAACGUUGAAGACGACGACGUUGAUAGGCCGGGUGUGUAAGCGCAGCGAUGCGUUGAGCUAACCGGUACUAAUGAACCGUGAGGCUUAACCU